rnacentral:rRNA from 1 species
UACGGGGGGAGCAAGCGUUGUUCGGAUUUACUGGGCGUAAAGGGCGCGUAGGCGGUCGUGACAAGUCACUUGUGAAAUCUCCGGGCUUAACUCGGAACGGUCAAGUGAUACUGUCGGACUAGAGUACAGAAGGGGCAACUGGAAUUCUCGGUGUAGCGGUGAAAUGCGCAGAUAUCAGGAGGAACACCGGUGGCGAAGGCGGGACUCUGGGCCGAUACUGACGCUGAGGAGCGAAAGCGUGGGGAGCGAACAGG